AGGGCGGGGGGGGUGCUUACACAUGCACGUCGACGAAGCAUUUAUACGGAAUCCCUCGGGAGGAAGUGUGAAUGCCUUAGUGGCGGACGGGUGAGUAACGCGUGGGCAACCUGCCCCGUACCGGGGGAUAACAGCCGGAAACGGCUGCUAAUACCGCAUAUGCUUUGCGGGCCGCAUGGCCCGCAAAGCACAACUCCGGUGGUACGGGAUGGGCCCGCGUCUGAUUAGCUGGUUGGCGGGGUAACGGCCCACCAAGGCGACGAUCAGUAGCCGGCCUGAGAGGGCGGCCGGCCACAUUGGGACUGAGACACGGCCCAGACUCCUGCGGGAGGCAGCAGUGGGGAAUAUUGCACAAUGGGGGAAACCCUGAUGCAGCGACGCCGCGUGGGCGAGGAAGUACCUCGGUAUGUAAAGCCCUAUCAGCAGGGAAGAAACAGGACAGUACCUGACUAAGAAGCCCCGGCUAACUACGUGCCAGCAGCCGCGGUAAUACGUAGGGGGCAAGCGUUAUCCGGAUUCACUGGGCGUAAAGGGAGCGCAGGCGGCAUGGCAAGUCUGAUGUGAAAACCCGGGGCCCAACCCCGGGAGUGCAUUGGAAACUGCCAGGCUGGAGUGUCGGAGGGGUAAGCGGAAUUCCUAGUGUACCGGUGAAAUGCGUACAUAUUAGGAAGAACACCAGUGGCGAAGGCGGCUUACUGGACGACUACUGACGCUGAGGCUCGAAAGCGUGCGGAAGCAACAGGAUUAAAUACCCCGCUAGUCCACGCCGCAAACGAACGAACAACCAUGUGUCGGCGGGC
rnacentral:rRNA from 1 species